AUGCUAUGUGGGUUUAAAUGCUGUUUGUGUGAAUUACACAAUAAAAACAUGUAUCCGUCCACAAAAAGAGCUUUUUCUUCCUCUUGCACCCAACACUGUGUCACUCGCCCUGUCUCAGAGCAGCGCAGAGCCACAACCCAUGAUUAUAAUGGCCUCUCGAGGGCGCGAGAGUGCCAACACCACACAAUGCCCACCGCGAGCCCCCCUCCCGCCAGUGGUUCUAGCCUCGCAGGGACGGGGCGCCGGUCAAAACACACCAUCAGUGGUUACGGUGGCCGUAGAGCUAACGCGUCCGCUGUGUCACUUCCUGGACGCGUGGAGAGCUAUCCCGGGCGUUUCACCGUGGAUACUGGGAAUUAUUCAGCACGGAUAUUCUCUUCAGUUCAAACGCAGACCUCCCCGCUUCAAUGGCGUGGUCCCGUCACUGACUAUGCCCAAAAACCUUCCCGUUCUGAGACAGGAAGUUCUCAGUCUGCUCGAGAAAGGAGCGAUAGAGCGCGUCCCUCCGAACGAGCAGGAAAGCGGCUUCUACAGCCGCUACUUUGUGGUGCCAAAGAAAGAUGGUGGACUCCGUCCGAUUCUGGAUCUGAGACCCAUCAACCGAGCACUUCACAAGCGCGCGUUCAGAAUGACAACGCUGAAACAGAUCUUGGCACAGAUACGGCCCGGGGACUGGUUCGCCUCAGUGGAUCUAAAAGACGCAUACUUCCAUAUUCAAAUAGCGACGCGCCACAGGCGCUUCCUGAGGUUUGCUUUAGAAGGCACGGCUUAUCAGUAUUCAGUGCUCCCGUUCGGCCUCGCCCUCGCCCCCCGCACAUUUUCAAAGUGUGUGGACGCAGCGCUUUCUCCCCUCAGAUCGAGCGGAAUGCGCAUCUUGAAUUAUCUGGACGAUUGGCUGAUUUUAGCCCACUCAAGGGAUGUGCUAAUCAGUCACGUGGAAACACUGCUUCGCCAUUUGGAUACGCUGGGACUGCGUGUGAAUAUGCAGAAGAGCGUGUUUUUACCGAGCCGGACUAUAACAUAUCUGGGAGUAUGUUUGGACUCGAUGGCGAUGCGAGCUCAUCUCUCUCAAGAGCGAAUAGAGGCAAUUUCAUCGACUCUGCGUCGUUUCAGACCGGGCAGGUCGGUUUCACUGAGGGAAUUUCAGAGGCUUUUGGGACUGAUGGCGGCGGCUUCUUCAGUGUGCCAUCUGGGUCUGCUGCAUAUGCGGCCGCUACAGUUUUGGCUGAAGACCCGAGUUCCGCCGAGGGCGUGGUAUUCAGGCCACAAGCGCAUUACGGUCACUCACAGUUGCGUCAGCACUCUGAGACCGUGGAGCAGCCCGGAUAUGUUCAGCCCAGGAGUUCCUUUGGGUAUAGUGACGCAGCGCACCGUGGUCUCGACGGACGCGUCGACAGCAGGCUGGGGAGCAGUAUGCCUGGGCGUUCCUGCCUCAGGCCUGUGGUCGGAGUCACAGAGAAGGUGAAGCGCAUUGGAGACCUACACGCGUUUUCGGUGAACGACGAUUGCAUAUGUUUCGGACCUGGCGACUGUAAUGUCACUCUCCGGCCGAGACCAGGUUACGUGCCGAAGUCACUCAAUACACCGUUCAGAGCACAGGUUGUUUCCCUGCCCGCCUUAUCUGCUGAGCCGCCAGCCUCGCGUGACGCUGAUGCUCAGAGCACUGUCUGCCCUGUUAGGGCUUUGCGGACAUAUGUGGAUCGCUCGGCCGCCUUUCGUCAGUCGGACCAGCUGUUCGUGUGCUUUGGUGGAUGUAAUAAGGGACGUGCUGUUUCAAAACAGAGACUUUCUCACUGGAUUGUGGACGCUAUUACGUUGGCUUACGAAUGCCAGGGGAAAGAUUGUCCCCUCAACAUCAAAGCUCAUUCCGUGAGGGCAAUUGCUUCCUCAUGGGCCUGGGCUAGAGGUAUGUCUAUCCAGGAUUUAUGUCUUGCUGCUGGCUGGUCUUCCCAGAACACAUUCGCCAGGUUUUACAAGCUGGAUGUACCCUCUGUAGCGUCACAUGUACUUUCGGUGAGUUAAGUUUCAUUCAUAUGUUGUGAACUGUUAUAACCAGCUAUACAGUAGUUACCAUAGCUGCUAACUCUGUGUUAUGGUUUAUAAGAUUAUGCAGUUGUCACCGCAAACGCUGUCGACUCUGUGUUUAACUCUCAUGCUUGAGUGCUCAUUGUGUUGUGUCUGCCCUAGUCAGUGCAGCCUUCAUGUUCAUUGCAUGAAGAUAUGCAAAUUUUGUUAGGGUCGGAGCAGAUGUUUCAUUGGUCUAGUUCCGCCUAUCAGAUGCGAGUACUCUUAGCAACGCGGCUAUUGGCUGGAACUGUCUCGCUUAUGUGUGGGUGUGAUUGUCCCCGUUCAGGGCUUAUCUUCACUGCUCUCACGGCGGGAUUUAAUACGGUUCCCAUAUACAUCUUAGCUGACGUAAUGUUGAGUUACCUCCUUGAUAGGGAACGCCUCCGGUUACUAUCGUAACCUCGGUUCCCUGAGAGGCGGGAACGAGACAUUACGUUAGCCGCCGUGGUUGCUGUUUGAUCAGCUGUGCUAGCGUUCAGUCGUGAUUCUGACGUAAUUUUCGCGCCCAUGCAUUUUAUACUGCCGGUGACGUGUCAGUAUUUGCAUGCUUCGCGUCAAUUGGCCAGCUGUCCCCAGCUGGCGUUAGCCCAUAAGAUUUCAGCGAAAGUGGAGAAGGGAGGAGUUCCCAUAUACGUCUUAGCUGACGUAAUGUCUCGUUCCCGCCUCUCAGGGAACCGAGGUUACGAUAGUAACCGGAGGCGUUUUUCUUAAAUUGCAAUUUUUCAAUCAUUUUAUUUUCAUUGCUUAUGCAUUAGUUCAAGGUCUAACAAGUGUGCAAAGAGCAAAACUAAAUAAUAAUUAUAUAUAUGAAAAAC
ensembl:lncRNA